GAUGAACGCUGACGGCGUGCCUAAUACAUGCAAGUCGAGCGAACGGACGAGAAGCUUGCUUCUCUGAUGUUAGCGGCGGACGUGUGAGUAACACGUGGAUAACCUACCUAUAAGACUGGGAUAACUUCGGGAAACCGGAGCUAAUACCGGAUAAUAUUUUGAACCGCAUGGUUCAAAAGUGAAAGACGGUCUUGCUGUCACUUAUAGAUGGAUCCGCGCUGCAUUAGCUAGUUGGUAAGGUAACGGCUUAUCAAGGCAACGAUGCAUAGCCGACCUGAGAGGGUGAUCGGCCACACUGGAACUGAGCCACGGUCCAGAGUCCUACGGGAGGCAGCAGUAGGCAAUCUUCCGCAAUGGGCGAAAGCCUGACGGAGCAACGCCGCGUGAGUGAUGACGGUCUUCGGAUCGUAAAACUCUGUUAUUAGGGAAGAACCUAUGUGUACGUAACUGUGCACAUCUUGACGGUACCUAAUCAGAAAGCCACGGCUAACUACGUG
rnacentral:rRNA from 1 species